rnacentral:rRNA from 1 species
CACGUAGUUAGCCGUGGCUUAUUCGACAGGUACCGUCCUCUGCUCUUCCCUGUCAAAAGAAGUUUACAACCCGAAAGCCUUCUUCCUUCACGCGGCGUUGCUGGGUCAGGCUUGCGCCCAUUGCCCAAUAUUCCCCACUGCUGCCUCCCGUAGGAGUCUGGGCCGUAUCUCAGUCCCAAUGUGGCCGGCCAACCUCUCAGUCCGGCUACUGAUCGUCGCCUUGGUAGGCCGUUACCCUACCAACUAGCUAAUCAGACGCGAGGCCAUCUCUCAGCGAUAAAUCUUUGGUAUCAAUGCCAUGCGACACAAAUACGUUAUGCGGUAUUAGCAGUCGUUUCCAACUGUUGUCCCCCACUGAAAGGCAGGUUCCUCACGCGUUACUCACCCGUCCGCCACUAAGCAGUCCUCUCCAUUGACCGAAAUCUCUUUCGAGGGUACUCCGUUCGACUUGCAUGUGUUAAGCACGCCGCCAGCGUUCGUCCUGAGCCAGGAUCAAACUCU